UACGUAGGUGGCAAGCGUUGUCCGGAUUUACUGGGCGUAAAGAGCGCGCAGGCGGUCGUUCAAGUCGCGUGUGAAAGCCCCCGGCUCAACUGGGGAGGGUCACGCGAUACUGAUCGACUCGAAGGCAGGAGAGGGUAGUGGAAUUCCCGGUGUAGUGGUGAAAUGCGUAGAUAUCGGGAGGAACACCAGUGGCGAAGGCGGCGACCUGGGUGGAUACUGACGCUGAGGUGCGAAAGCGUGGGGAGCAAACAGG
rnacentral:rRNA from 1 species